rnacentral:rRNA from 1 species
AAUGAACGCUGGCGGCGUGCCUAAUACAUGCAAGUCGAGCGAAGCGGGGGCGGGUGAGUAACACGUGGAUAAACUCCUAUAAGACUGGGAUAAAUUCGGGAAAACGGAGCUAAAACGGCUAAUUAUACCUGGUGGCGCGCUGCAGUAGCUAGUUGGUAAGGUAACGGCUUACAAAGUCAACGAUGCAUCGGCGACCUGAGAGGGUGAUCGGCCACACUGGAACUGAUACACGGUCCAGACUCCGACGGGAGGCAGCAGUGGGGAAUCUUCCGCAAUGGGCGCAAGCCUGACGGAGCAACGCCGCGUGAGUGAUGAAGGUCUUCGGAUCGUAAAGCUCUGUUGUUAGGGAAGCGUUACCUACUCAGAAAGCCACGGCUAACUACGUGCCAGCAGCCGCGGUAAUUC